rnacentral:rRNA from 1 species
GACGAACGCUGGCGGCGUGCCUAAUACAUGCAAGUCGAACGCUGAAGGAGGAGCUUGCUUCUCUGGAUGAGUUGCGAACGGGUGAGUAACGCGUAGGUAACCUGCCUGGUAGCGGGGGAUAACUAUUGGAAACGAUAGCUAAUACCGCAUAAGAGUAGAUGUUGCAUGACAUUUGCUUAAAAGGUGCAAUUGCAUCACUACCAGAUGGACCUGCGUUGUAUUAGCUAGUUGGUGAGGUAACGGCUCACCAAGGCAACGAUACAUAGCCGACCUGAGAGGGUGAUCGGCCACACUGGGACUGAGACACGGCCCAGACUCCUACGGGAGGCAGCAGUAGGGAAUCUUCGGCAAUGGACGGAAGUCUGACCGAGCAACGCCGCGUGAGUGAAGAAGGUUUUCGGAUCGUAAAGCUCUGUUGUAAGAGAAGAACGAGUGUGAGAGUGGAAAGUUCACACUGUGACGGUAUCUUACCAGAAAGAGACGGCUAACUACGUG